rnacentral:rRNA from 1 species
GAUGAACGCUGGCGGCGUGCCUAAUACAUGCCAGUCGAGCGAACGGACGAGAAGCUUGCUUCUCUGAUGUUAGCGGCGGACGGGUGAGUAACACGUGGAUAACCUACCUAUAAGACUGGGAUAACUUCGGGAAACCGUAGCUAAUACCGGAUAAUAUUUUGAACCGCAUGGUUCAAAAGUGAAAGACGGUCUUGCUGUCACUUAUAGAUGGAUACGCGCUGCAUUAGCUAGUUGGUAAGGUAACGGCUUACCAAGGCAACGAUGCAUAGCCGACCUGAGAGGGUGAUCGGCCACACUGGAACUGAGACACGGUCCAGACUCCUACGGGAGGCAGCAGUAGGGAAUCUUCCGCAAUGGGCGAAAGCCUGACGGAGCAACGCCGCGUGAGUGAUGAAGGUCUUCGGAUCGUAAAACUCUGUUAUUAGGGAAGAACAUAUGUGUAAGUAACUGUGCACAUCUUGACGGUACCUAAUCAGAAAGCCACGGCUAACUACGUG